rnacentral:rRNA from 1 species
GUGUCAGCAGCCGCGGUAAUACGGAGGGUGCAAGCAUUAAUCGGAUUUAUUGGGCGUAAAGGGCGCGUAGGCUGAUCAGUAGGUCAGAUGUGAAAUCCCGGGGCUCAACCCCGGAACUGCAUUUGAAACUGCUAAUCUAGAGGGUAGGCGGAGAAAACAGAAUUCCACAAGUAGCGGUGAAAUGCGUAGAUAUGUGGAAGAAUACCGGUGGCGAAGGCGGUUUUCUAGCUUACUCCUGACGCUGAGGCGCGAAAGUAAGGGGAUCAAACAGGAUUAGAUACCCUGGUAGUCC